GCCGACAUAGCUCAAUGGCAGAGCAUUACAGAGAGAUACAGGUUCGAUUCCUGUUGUUGGCUUCA
rnacentral:tRNA from 1 species